GGAGGGACUGUGGCUCUCUGCAGUAAAGCCUCUGCUUUGUAUGCUGAAGGUCUCAGGUUCAAUCCCUGGCAUCUCCA
rnacentral:tRNA from 1 species